UUGUAGCAAUACAACUGGCGCACGGCGCACGGGUGCGUAACACGUGGGUAACCUGCCCUUUGGUGGGGAAUAACUCCGCGAAAGCGGAGCUAAUUCCGCAUAAGAUCCGCAAGGAUGAAAGCCGCAAGGCGCCGAAGGAGGGGCCCGCGCCCGAUUAGCUAGUUGGUAGGGUAACGGCCUACCAAGGCUUUGAUCGGUAGCUGGUCUGAGAGGAUGAUCAGCCACACUGGAACUGAGACACGGUCCAGACUCCUACGGGAGGCAGCAGUGGGGAAUCUUGCACAAUGGGCGAAAGCCUGAUGCAGCGACGCCGCGUGGGGGAUGAAGCAUUUCGGUGUGUAAACCCCUUUCGAUCCGGACGAAACCCCGCAAGGGAUUGACGGUACGGAUAUAAGAAGCCCCGGCUAACUACGUGCCAGCAGCCGCGGUAAGACGUAGGGGGCCAGCGUUGUUCGGAAUUACUGGGUGUAAAGGGUUCGUAGGCGGUGCGGCAAGUUGGGAGUGAAAUCUCUGGGCUUAACCCAGAGGCUGCUUCCAAAACUGCUGUGCUUGAGUGUGGGAGAGGCGCGUGGAAUUGCUGGUGUAGCGGUGAAAUGCGUAGAUAUCUGCAGGAACACCCGUGGCGAAAGCGGCGCGCUGGACCACUACUGACGCUGAGGAACGAAAGCUAGGGGAGCAAACAGGAUUAGAUACCCUGGUAGUCCUAGCCCUAAACGAUCAGGACUUGGGGUGCCACCCGUUCGGGUGUCGUCCCGGAGCUAACGCGUUAAGUCCUGCACCUGGGGAGUACGGUCGCAAGACUGAAACUC
rnacentral:rRNA from 1 species